UCUAAGCGCAGAAUCUCCUC
rnacentral:siRNA from 1 species